rnacentral:rRNA from 1 species
GGGGGCAGGCGUAACACAUGCAAGUCGAGCGGCAGCGGAGAGUAGCUUGCUACUUUGCCGGCGAGCGGCGGACGGGUGAGUAAUGUCUGGGAAACUGCCUGAUGGAGGGGGAUAACUACUGGAAACGGUAGCUAAUACCGCAUAACGUCGCAAGACCAAAGAGGGGGACCUUCGGGCCUCUUGCCAUCAGAUGUGCCCAGAUGGGAUUAGCUAGUAGGUGGGGUAACGGCUCACCUAGGCGACGAUCCCUAGCUGGUCUGAGAGGAUGACCAGCCACACUGGAACUGAGACACGGUCCAGACUCCUACGGGAGGCAGCAGUGGGGAAUAUUGCACAAUGCGCGCAAGCCUGAUGCAGCCAUGCCGCGUGUAUGAAGAAGGCCUUCGGGUUGUAAAGUACUUUCAGCGGGGAGGAAGGCGUUGAGGUUAAUA